rnacentral:rRNA from 1 species
CGCGGUAAUACGGAGGGUGCAAGCGUUAAUCGGAAUUACUGGGCGUAAAGCGCACGCAGGCGGUCUGUCAAGUCGGAUGUGAAAUCCCCGGGCUCAACCUGGGAACUGCAUUCGAAACUGGCAGGCUAGAGUCUUGUAGAGGGGGGUAGAAUUCCAGGUGUAGCGGUGAAAUGCGUAGAGAUCUGGAGGAAUACCGGUGGCGAAGGCGGCCCCCUGGACAAAGACUGACGCUCAGGUGCGAAAGCGUGGGGAGCAAACAGGAUUAGAUACCCUGGUAGUCCACGCCGUAAACGAUGUCGAUUUGGAGGUUGUGCCCUUGAGGCGUGGCUUCCGGAGCUAACGCGUUAAAUCGACCGCCUGGGGAGUACGGCCGCAAGGUUAAAACUCAAAUGAAUUGACGGGGGCCCGCACAAGCGGUGGAGCAUGUGGUUUAAUUCGAUGCAACGCGAAGAACCUUACCUGGUCUUGACAUCCACGGAAGUUUUCAGAGAUGAGAAUGUGCCUUCGGGAACCGUGAGACAGGUGCUGCAUGGCUGUCGUCAGCUCGUGUUGUGAAAUGUUGGGUUAAGUCCCGCAACGAGCGCAACCCUUAUCCUUUGUUGCCAGCGGUCCGGCCGGGAACUCAAAGGAGACUGCCAGUGAUAAACUGGAGGAAGGUGGGGAUGACGUCAAGUCAUCAUGGCCCUUACGACCAGGGCUACACACGUGCUACAAUGGCGCAUACAAAGAGAAGCGACCUCGCGAGAGCAAGCGGACCUCAUAAAGUGCGUCGUAGUCCGGAUUGGAGUCUGCAACUCGACUCCAUGAAGUCGGAAUCGCUAGUAAUCGUGGAUCAGAAUGCCACGGUGAAUACGUUCCCGGGCCUUGUACACACCGCCCGUCACACCAUGGGAGUGGGUUGCAAAAGAAGUAGGUAGCUUAACCUUCGGGAGGGCGCUUACCACUUUGUGAUUCAUGACUGGGGUGAAGUCGUAACAAGGUAACCGUAGGGGAACCUGCGGUUG